CCUACGGGAGGCAGCAGUGGGGAAUCUUGCACAAUGGAGGAAACUCUGAUGCAGCGAUGCCGCGUGAGUGAAGAAGGCCUUUGGGUUGUAAAGCUCUUUUGUAGGGGAAGAUAAUGACUGUACCCUAAGAAUAAGGUCCGGCUAACUUCGUGCCAGCAGCCGCGGUAAUACGAAGGGACCUAGCGUAGUUCGGAAUUACUGGGCGUAAAGCGCGCGUAGGCCGUUGAGUUAGUUAAUUGUGAAAUCCCAAAGCUUAACUUUGGAACUGCAAUUAAAACUGCUCGACUAGAGUUUGAUAGAGGAAAGCGGAAUACAUAGUGUAGAGGUGAAAUUCGUAGAUAUUAUGUAGAACACCAGUUGCGAAGGCGGCUUUCUGGAUCAACACUGACGCUGAGGCGCGAAAGUAUGGGUAGCAAAGAGGAUUAGAUACCCUCGUAGUCCAUACCAUAAACGAUGAUUGCUAGAUGUUGGAAAUUUAUUUUCAGUAUCGCAGCUAACGCAUUAAGCAAUCCGCCUGGGGAGUACGACCGCAAGGUUAAAACUCAAAUGAAUUGACCGGNUUGAGAGUUGCGAGCGACGACGAGGGAGAG
rnacentral:rRNA from 1 species